GACGAACGCUGGCGGCGUGCUUAACACAUGCAAGUCGAACGGAAAGGCCCUGCUUUUGUGGGGUGCUCGCGUGGCGAACGGGUGAGUAACACGUGAGUAACCUGCCCUUGACUUUGGGAUAACUUCAGGAAACUGGGGCUAAUACCGGAUAGGAGCUCCUGCUGCAUGGUGGGGGUUGGAAAGUUUCGGCGGUUGGGGAUGGACUCGCGGCUUAUCAGCUUGUUGGUGGGGUAGUGGCUUACCAAGGCUUUGACGGGUAGCCGGCCUGAGAGGGUGACCGGCCACAUUGGGACUGAGGUACGGCCCAGACUCCUACGUGAGGCAGCAGUGGGGAAUAUUGCACAAUGGGCGGAAGCCUGAUGCAGCAACGCCGCGUGCGGGAUGACGGCCUUCGGGUUGUAAACCGCUUUCGCCUGUGACGAAGCGUGAGUGACGGUAAUGGGUAAAGAAGCACCGGCUAACUACGUG
rnacentral:rRNA from 1 species